AUGGAGCAGUUUUGUAGACCCUUUGGUUUGUCCUUGCUGCAUCUGGGCAGUGAAGGCAUAGCAGAAUCUUCAGACACUCCACCARCCAGAGAAGCUGUGGCUGCCCCAUCCCUGGAAGUGUCCAAGGAGCUGAUUGCAAGCUCACACAGGUGAUGUUCCUUAAAUCCUGAACUCCCAGAAGCACAGAAUUGCAUCAGAACCUCCACCUUCAGCUCACCUCACCUCACCUCACCUCCUCUCUUACCUGGGCCAAGACAAGUGCUGCCCAUCUCAUCCUUCGUGGAGAACAUUGGACAAGUGGAGUUGAGACCAGCCCCCUGUCUGCUGUCAGCUUCCCAGGUUUUGUCCACUUGCAUCUUCCAUGCUGCUGUAAAAUUCUCUUUCCACAUACAGGUAGGAAAUGAUAUUUAAUACUUCAGCCAGUGAGGGGGAGAUGGGGACAGCACCUCAGAAGCUGCUUCUCAACCACUCCCUGAUUUUCAGCCCAGCCACACUGGCAUGUUGGGACAGCCUGGGAGCUGUUUGAGCAGGCACCAGGCUCCCUCAGAACCCGAGCCCAGGCAGGGAGCAGCGUGCUCUGGCCACGCUGCCUCCAUCCUGCCUGUCCCAGCUCGCCCUGCAUGCAGAGAGACUGGAGCUCAUGGAACCGCCUUCCUGUCUGCACCAAAAUCCCUUCUCACUACUCAAAGGAUGUAAAGGGAACAUGGAGCAAAGCACAGAAGCAAUUCUCCAGUCUCUGAAGCUGUUAAAAAUAUUUCUGAUAAAGGUACAGAUAUGCACAGCUGAGCUCCAGUGAACACCUUCUUGUUUCUCAUGCUAAUUUUAUAUUGUUCCCGAAGCAGAGCCUGAUUUUUUUGCUUGUGAAAGGAAGAUAUUAAUUCUGGUCCUAUUCAUUAAUCAUAUCAAAACCCAAGGUAUGCAGAUAUUAUUUUUCAGUAAUUUUAAGGUGCCAGUGUAUUAAUAAAAGGUUAAGAAAUGCAAAAUAGCUGUAAAGGGUUUGGUUUUUUUCUUGAAGUGUAUGGUUUUCUCACAUUACUGCAGACUACAUAUUUCUUUAUUUGUCAGUAAG